rnacentral:rRNA from 1 species
AUUGAACGCUGGCGGCAGGCCUAACACAUGCAAGUCGAGCGAGCGGCGGACGGGUGAGUAAUGUCUGGGAAACUGCCUGAUGGAGGGGGAUAACUACUGGAAACGGUAGCUAAUACCGCAUACCAUCGGAUGUGCCCAGAAGGGAUUAGCUAGCAGAUGGGGUAACGGCGCCCCUAGGCGACGAUCCCUAGCUGGUCUGAGAGGAUGACGAGCCACACUGGGACUGAGACACGGUCCAGACUCCUACGGGAGGCAGCAGUGGGGAGUAUUGCGCAAUGGGCGCAAGCCUAAUGCAGCCAUGCCGCGUGGAUGAAGAAGGCCUUCGGGUUGUAAAGUACGUUCAGCGGGGAGGCGUUACCCGCAGAAGAAGCACCGGCUAACUCCGUGCCAGCAGCCGCGGUAAUUC